rnacentral:rRNA from 1 species
AAACUGAAACGAAGCGUCCGCCCCCUCGCGACCCGUUCGCGGAGCGCGCGGGGGACCGGCCGUCUAUCUAAAUGUCAUAACGACUCUCGGCAACGGAUAUCUCGGCUCUCGCAUCGAUGAAGAACGUAGCGAAAUGCGAUACUUGGUGUGAAUUGCAGAAUCCCGUGAACCAUCGAGUCUUUGAACGCAAGUUGCGCCCGAAGCCGUCAGGCCGAGG